AUGACGCCCACUGGAUUGCUUUCACUGUUACAGCUGCAAAAAUCCACCCCCCCGUCCGUCUUCCCCCUGGUUCCCUGCUGCACCCAGACUGGCAGUGCUCCCCCGGACACAAGCCUGGCCUGCCUCGUAACUGGCUAUUUACCAUCACCAGUGAACAUCAAGUGGAAUUCUGGCAAAGUGACCCAGGGGGGCAAGGAUUUCCCAGAGAUGACGAUGAGCGACGGGCUCCACACCCGGAGCAGCCUGCUGAUCCUCCCUGACAGGUCCCGGCAGGGCGACACCUACCAGAGCGAUGUGACGCAUCCAGGCACAGCAAAGACAGUGUCGAAGACGUUCCCUCGGGAAUGGUGUGGUUUGACAAGGCCCCCCGAGGUUCACCUGCUGGCCCCCACCUGCGAGGACAGCUCCACAGAGAGCCAGCGGGAGCUGGUUUGCCUCCUCCUGAGCUUCUAACCUGGCAAAGCCGACAGGUGGAUGGAUGGAGACUAUGAGUGUUCUGAUGGAGUCUUUUUCUGUCUUUCCACAUUAUUUGAACUGGUCAAUGACAUCUCUUUGCAUUUCUCAGCCUGCCUCAGAAGCUCACUUGACCCAACCAUCUACUUAACCAAACCCUCCUAUGAAGACGUCAUCAAAAAUUCUGGUCACGUUACCUGUCUAGUUCUGGGCUAUGACUUAGCGGCCAGCAGAAUCGCAUGGAAAGUGGAUGGGAAAGUCAGCUCCGCGGUGAAGACAGAACCCCUCAAGAUGAACAGCAACGGGACCACCAGCCUGGUCAGUUCUCACCCUGUGUCGCUGGCACAAUGGGGACAAGGCACCGAAUUUACCUGCAAAGUGACCACACCCUGUUCUGGAGAACUAACCCAGGACAUAACCAUGAGCAACACAGGCAUCAGGAAGGAGCCCUCAGUCACCAUCUCCCGAGCCUAUCACGAAGACAGCUCUGGGAACAGAGUCUCCUUGACUCUCAUCUGCAAAACUAGUGGCUUUUACCCUGAAGAGAUCAGCAUCUCAUGGUUGAAGAACAACUCCCUGGAACUCAAGUCCAGUUACAACAAUGGCCCUGUGUCAGGAAGUGGCACUUUCUCUGCCUACGGUGUCCUGAAGGUUGAGCAAAGCCAAGGAGAAGGAAAUUACACCUGCGUGGUGCAUCACCUGGCCAUGGAAGAGCCCAAGAGUGUUGUGGAAAUGUUGUCCCUUGGUGUCAGCAACUGUAAUCGACACCCUCUGGAGGUCUCUCUCCUUCCCCCUUCCCUGGAGGACCUCUACAUAGCGCAGAAUGCCACCAUCAGUUGUUUGGUGAGUGGCAUGGAGACCCCCGGCAGCCUGGAGGUCUCCUGGAGCCGGGCUAGCGAGGACCCGUUGGCCGUGGUCUCCAGGGAGCCGGUGCUGCAGGAAGAUGGCACCUACAGUGCAACCAGCAUCCUGCGGGUGUGCGUGGAGGAGUGGCAGGCGUGGGAGGAGUUCACCUGAACGGUGAAGCACCAAGACAUCCCGUUGGCCAUUGUCAAGACCAUCCACAAGAGUCACAUGGUCUCCCUCCGGGCCCCUUCUGUCUACAUCUCCCCUCCUCACGCUGAGGAGCUGUCUCUCUGGGAAUCAGCCACCAUCACCUGCCUGGCCUCCGGCUUCCAGCCCAGAGAGAUCCUGGUGACAUGGACCCAGCAGGACCGGCCCGUGCCCCAGGAAGCCUACACCAACAUCGGCCCCGUCCGGGAGGCUGGGAAGGAGGAGCUCUACUUCAUCUACAGCAAGCUCAAUGUCUUGGUGUCCGAAUGGGAGCGGGGGGACACGUACGCCUGCGUGGUGGGGCACGAGGGCCUGCCCAUGACCUUCAUCCACCAGAGCUGUCAUAGCGUGGACAAAUCCUCUGCUCCUCACUGCCUGGUGGAGGACCACGGCGUCUAUGUUGAAGGAGGAGAGGAGGAAUCUGACGGUCUCUGGACACCUGUUGUCUUCAUUGCUCUCUUCCUGCUCAGCCUGUUGUACAGCGCCGGCGUCACGCUGGCUAAGGUGUGGGGAGUGUCCGGCUCCAGGCUCCUAGGAGGUGGCCAGCACUGCUUCGUCCUCUUCAUUCCCUCCCUCCACCUUCAGCCCUCCCGGGCUCCUGCCCUCCCUCCGGACACCUGGAGGGACCAUGUUCCACGGCAGCUCAGAGGGCGCGACAACGGCCGCUGA